CUGGGAGCACUGUGGUGCAACAGCGUUCGAUUAUGGCUCAGAUUGAACGCUGGCGGUAAUGCUUACACAUGCAAGUCGAACGGCAGCACGGAUCUCCUCGGUCUGGUAAGAGUGGCGAACGGGUGAGUAAUGUAUCGGAACGUGCUUCAGUAGCGGGGAUAACUACGCGAAAGCGUAGCUAAUACCGCAUAUUGCCCUUCGGGGGAAAGCGGGGGUCUUCGGGCUUCCCGCACUAGGAGCGGCCGAUACUGAUUAGCGAAGCUGGUGGGGUAACGGCUCACUCAAGGCGACGAUCCGUAGCUGGUCGAGAGGACGACCAGCCACACUGGGACCGAGACACGGCCCAGACUCCUACGGGAGGCAGGGGGAAUUUUGGACAAUGGGGGAAACCUGAUCCAGCCAUCUCAUGUGCGAUGAAGGCUUCGGUUGUAAAGCACUUUUGGCAGGAAAGAAACGGCACGGGAUAAUACCCAACUGACGGUACCUGCAAGAAUAAGCACCGGCUAACUACGUGCCAGCAGCUGCGGUAUUGUGUAGGGUGUAAGCGUUAAUCGAAUGCCACAUUGGGCGUAGCGUAAGUGCAGGCGGUUCGAAAUAGAUGGAAAUCCCAGAGCUUAACUUUGAACUGUAUUUUUGGUUCAUUGAGCUAGAGUGGCCGAGGAGGUGGAAUUCGCGUAGCAGGAAAUGCGUAGAUAUGCGGAGGAACACCCGAUGGCGAAGGCAGCCUUGGGAUAACACUGACGUUUGUGCAUCGAAAGUGUGGGAGCAAAACAUUAGAUACCCGGUAGUCCACGCCCUAAACGAUGUCAACUAUUGUUGGGGCCGGGCCUUGGUAGCGCAGCUAACGCGGUGAAGUUGACCGCCUGGGGAGUACGGUCGCAAGAUUAAACUCAGCGAAUUGACGGGGACCUGCACAAGCGGUGGAUGAUGUGGAUUACACCUGAUGCAACGAAACCUUACCUACCCUUGACAUGUCUGGAAUCCCGAAGAGAUUUGGGAGUGCUCGCAGAGAACCGAACACAGGUGCUGUAUGGUCGUCGUCAGCUCGUGUCGAGAUGUUGGGUUAAGUCCUGCAACGAGCGCAACCCUUGUCAUUAGGUUGCUACGAAAGGGCACUCUAAUGAGACUGCCGGUGACAAACUGGAGGUGGGGAUGACGUCAUCUCGCGGGCCCUUGCGUAGGGCUUCACACGUCAUACAAUGGUCGGGACAGAGGGUCGCCAACCCCGGCGAGGGGAGCCAAUCCCAGAACCCGCUGAUCGUAGUCCGGAUCGCAGUUCGCAACUCGACUGCGUGAAGUCGGAAUCGCUAGUAAUCGGAUCAGCAUGUUGUCGUUGGGGUGAAUAUUCCUGGGUCUUGUACACAAUUCACUGCUGUCGCAUCAUGGGAGUGGGUUUUACCAGAAGUAGUUAGCCCACCGUAAGGAGGGGCGAUUACCACGGUAGGAUUCAUGACUGGGGUGAAGUCGUACAAGGUAG
rnacentral:rRNA from 1 species